rnacentral:rRNA from 1 species
GGGUUUAGGGCCAGCUGGUUUAGGGAUUGGGAGCAAGGGGUAAGUGACGUCGCCGUCCCGCUCCGUUAUAACGAGUGCCAGCCGCCGCUCCGGCAUAGGAACGUGGUGCCGCCGUUCGGAGACCUCGAGUCUACCCUCCUAGACCGUAAGGCGCCUACCAGCUGGCGCCCCACUUCUACCUCCUGCUGCCCCUCGGUACCCGUUUCUAAUGCAGACAGCAGAUAACCGCGUUUUUCAGUCCUGGUACUCUACGGUCUACACCACCCACGUACGGCGCCGUGCUCCAUCUAGUGUGGAACGAACGUUCUUUCUCCAGGACCUCGUCUCAGAUUUCCUCUUUCUCCAGGACCUCGUCUCAGAAACCAAAUCAACGUUAGUACAAACGUUACCGACCCUCCAGGACUACGUACUUACUCGUUACAACUUCGAGAAGAAAACCACUUGAGUCACACGACAUCAUCGAUGAAACAUACACAUGACUUACUUUUACCG